AGAGUUUGAUCCUGGCUCAGAACGAACGCUGGCGGCAUGCCUAACACAUGCAAGUCGAACGAGGGUUCUGCUUCGGCGGGGCCCUAGUGGCGCACGGGUGAGUAACGCGUGGGAACCUGCCCUGUGGUACGGAAUAACUCCGGGAAACUGGAGCUAAGACCGUAUGUGUCCUGCGGGACAAAGAUUUAUCGCCAUGGGAUGGGCCCGCGUAGGAUUAGCUUGUUGGUGGGGUAACGGCCUACCAAGGCAACGAUCCUUAGCUGGUCUGAGAGGAUGAUCAGCCACACUGGGACUGAGACACGGCCCAGACUCCUACGGGAGGCAGCAGUGGGGAAUAUUGGACAAUGGGCGCAAGCCUGAUCCAGCAAUGCCGCGUGAGUGAUGAAGGCCUUCGGGUUGUAAAGCUCUUUCGCACGCGACGAUGA
rnacentral:rRNA from 1 species